rnacentral:rRNA from 1 species
UAUCGCUCGCUUAAGUCCAACUUGAACGGGGCCACACAGAGGGUGACAUGCCCGUGUAGCAGCUGGUACGAAGCGUGUGGGCAUCUCCUCAGAGUCGGUUUGCUUGAAAAUGCAGACCUAAGAGGGUGGUAAACUCCAUCUAAGGCUAAAUAUGACCACGAGACCGAUAGCACACAAGUACCGUGAGGGAAAGGUGAAAAGAACUUUGAAGAGAGAGUUCAAGAGUACGUGAAAC